rnacentral:tRNA from 1 species
GGCUUCGGGGUGUAGUGGUCAGCACACUGAGCCGGUAUUUCAGAGGUCCGUGGUUCGAUUCCCGGCGAAGGCG